UACGUAGGGGGCAAGCGUUGUCCGGAAUCAUUGGGCGUAAAGCGCGUGUAGGCGGCUUUGCAAGUCGGAUGUGAAAGCCCACGGCUCAACCGUGGAAGUGCAUCCGAAACUGCAUGGCUCGAGUCUCGGAGAGGAAGGUGGAAUGCUUGGUGUAGAGGCGAAAUUCGUAGAUAUCAAGCAGAACACCUGCGGCGAAGGCGGCCUUCUGGACGAUGACUGACGCUGAGACGCGAAAGCGUGGGGAGCAAACAGG
rnacentral:rRNA from 1 species